rnacentral:rRNA from 1 species
CGUGUAGGAGGCAUCACAAGUUGGAUGUUAAAGCUCCCGGCUAAACUGGGAGAGGUCGUUCAAGACUGUGGAGCUAGAGUACGAGAGAGGUAAUCGGAAUUCCGGGAGUAGUGGUGAAAUGCGUAGAUAUCCGGAGGAACACCAGAGGCGAAAGCGGAUUACUGGCUCGAAACUGACACUGAGACGCGAAAGCCAGGGUAGCAAACG